AGAGUUUGAUCCUGGCUCAGGACGAACGCUGGCGGCAGGCCUAACACAUGCAAGUCGAGCGCCCAGCAAUGGGAGCGGCGGACGGGUGAGUAACACGUGGGAAUUUUCCUCAAGGUACGGAACAACUCAGGGAAACUUGGGCUAAUACCGUAUGAUGCAGAGAUGCCAAAGAUUUAUCGCCUUGGGAUAAGCCCGCGUCAGAUUAGGUAGUUGGUGGGGUAAUGGCCUACCAAGCCUGUGAUCUGUAGCUGGUCUGAGAGGACGAUCAGCCACAUUGGGACUGAGACACGGCCCAAACUCCUACGGGAGGCAGCAGUGGGGAAUCUUGCGCAAUGGGCGAAAGCCUGACGCAGCCACGCCGCGUGAAUGAUGAAGGUCUUAGGAUUGUAAAGUUCUUUCGCCCGUGACGAUGAUGACGGUAACGGGAGAAGAAGCCCCGGCUAACUUCGUGCCAGCAGCCGCGGUAAUACGAAGGGGGCUAGCGUUGUUCGGAAUUACUGGGCGUAAAGCGCGCGUAGGCGGUUUUGCAAGCCAGAGGUGAAAUGCCCGAGCUCAACUUGGGAAUUGCCUUUGGGACUGUGAGGCUUCGAGGACGGAAGAGGUGAGUGGAAUUCCCAGUGUAGAGGUGAAAUUCGUAGAUAUUGGGAAGAACACCGGUGGCGAAGGCGGCUCACUGGUCCGUUUCUGACGCUAAAGCGCGAAAGCGUGGGGAUCAAACAGGAUUAGAUACCCUGGUAGUCCACGCCGUAAACGAUGAGUGCUAGGCGUCGGCAGGCUUGCCUGUCGGUGCCGCAGCUAAC
rnacentral:rRNA from 1 species